GUUUCGGUUGUAAAUUGCUUAUGCUACAUAUGUAACAUUGCGGAUUCAAAUGAAAUUGAAACUUCCUAAUUGAUGGUCAAAAAGAAUAAUGGUAAGUUAUACUUCAAGGAUGAUUGACAUGGCAUGACUUGAGUGAGUACUAUAAGAUGACUCAUAAAGUUACCAACAACUAAUUGACUGCAUCUGAUGAUUGAUGUAACUUCUAGAAUUCUGCUGGAAAUGUGUAUUGAAGUUUCUCCAUGAUUCAAAGAUGACUUGCACAAUUUUUGGAGAGUGGACUAAUUUUUGCAAACAACGAAGGUUCUUUGAAGGAUUGUCUAUCAAGUUUGGAAGCAUCUAAUAACAAUGUCAUACAUGCAUGUGAGGACUGCCCCACAAUUUGGUCUGUGAACUAGAUUAGUCACACCUAUAGGAAAUGGAGUAUUCAAACCUCUUUUUUAGACAGAACAAUAUUUUAAGAGAGGCCAUUGUGUAGUGGGUGUUGUUGGUUGGCAUGUUUGGGUUUAGGUGCUGCUGCAGUUUCAGCGGCUGUGGUGGCUUCCUUUUGCUUUCCUUUUGGUGGUAAGAUCUCCCUAUCGGUUCUGCUAUGCCUCCAUGUCCUUUCUGUUAUAGUGCUGGCUGUGAUGCAGGAGUAUUCGUGGGUUUGCUAAUUGUUUUGAUGACUAUAUAGUUGUUGUCAUGUUUGGCCUUUUGUUCUCAUUUAUACCUCAACAUCAUGUUAUUUUGUCUUUGGCUGGGUUGCUGUUUUGCUUGGAUUUUUUGGCAGCUUUUUCUUUGGGGUGUUGGAAGGUUUGUUUGCUUUUGUCCGGUGAUCCGCUAUAUACGGCACCUUAUUUGUAUUUUGCCUUAUUGGCUUUAUCCGCAGUUGUUUUUUGUGUCUUGCCUUUUAGGGAGACCGAAAUUGCAACUAUCUUUUUUUUUUUGUUU